CAGAGGCAGAGUGCUCUUACAGCUAGUACAGGGAGGAAGGUAAUUUUUUGGUGAUGACUGGGCCAGUGCGUGAUCUAGAAGCUUUAAAACACCAAAUCGUGCGACUAGUGAAAUGGGAACAAUUCUUUUGGUGCCUCGAGACUUGUUAUCCGAUCUUGUUAGUUACUCUUACUGUAGACCGUGUUGGUGCAUCUGCCAAAAAAGAAUCGUCUGUUUUGGAGAUUUAUACAUGCAUGAUAAAUUUACUGUUUUGGAGAUUAUGGGUA